rnacentral:rRNA from 1 species
AGUGAACGCUGGCGGUAGGCCUAACACAUGCAAGUCGAACGGCAGCACAGUAAGAGCUUGCUCUUACGGGUGGCGAGUGGCGGACGGGUGAGGAAUACAUCGGAAUCUACUUUUUCGUGGGGGAUAACGUAGGGAAACUUACGCUAAUACCGCAUACGACCUACGGGUGAAAGCAGGGGAUCUUCGGACCUUGCGCGAUUGAAUGAGCCGAUGUCGGAUUAGCUAGUUGGCGGGGUAAAGGCCCACCAAGGCGACGAUCCGUAGCUGGUCUGAGAGGAUGAUCAGACACACGGGAACUGAGACACGGUCCAGACUCCUACGGGAGGCAGCAGUGGGGAAUAUUGGACAAUGGGCGCAAGCCUGAUCCAGCCAUACCGCGUGGGUGAAGAAGGACUUAGGGUUGUAAAGCCCUUUUGUUGGGAAAGAAAAGCAGCAGGUUAAUACCCCGCUGUUCUGACGGUACCCAAAGAAUAAGCACCGGCUAACUUCGUG